UCCGUUUCACGAAGCAGGUUUAGUGAAAACUCUGAGUUUGUUAACCCUGAAAUGAGGGAAACUCAGAGUUUUCCGUUUCACAAAGGGAGGUAACUCAAACCAGAGACAGAGGGGUAACUCUAGCCUGUUUCACAAAAAGGGGUAACUUAAACUCUCGGUCAGUUACCAUAGUAACAGACUCUCUGACUCUAACCUGGUCGGGACCAGGUUUUUCUCAGUAAGCCUCGAGUUUCUCUCAGUCUCCGCCCUCUUUCAGCCACACACGCCAUUUCAUCUCCUCAUUCAUUCAGUCAGCUGGCGAGUUUUGGCGAAGUCUAGUUCUGCCGUGUGUCAAAAGCCCCUUUUCGACCAAAGAGCACCAGGUGCUAGGUUGGUUCAAAGUUGAGAGCCAGUGCUUUUUUGGUUCAAAUCUCGUGCCGCCCCAGAACGGGUUUGUGUUUCCACUCAAGGAGCAAAGUUGGAGCUGCGUCAUUGCGCCACCACAAAACGUGUGUACAUACUGCGUACGUAGCCGUUCAACAGCGUUCACGCCGUACAGAAACCCACACAACAACAAUUGAGGACUUCAUUGGAGUGGUGUACAUGGCUUUGCUAGUGUGUCUCGCCAUCGCUGAACAGCAAAACCUUCUGUUAGGGGUUACUCAUCGGCGUCGCCGUUCCAAUGCCCGGCGAUCACGUUUGAGAAGAAAGAUGUUUUUAGAUGUCACCCCGCCCUCUGCCCGUGACGUGCUCGGCUCUCAACUCUGGCCACCUCUGGCCCAGCAACGAGUUGGUGCCCGAAACGGCCCCAGUUUUUGGAGCCCGGAGCCGCAGCUGCAGUGGUCGAAACACAAAAAACCGGCGCCAAGUCGGGCGCCGGCUCCAACUCCGAACGGGCUCCACCCCGGUCGAAAAGGGGGUAAAAUGACGUCCUUUUAUGAACGAUCCAGUGGAUGAAGGAGCAGCAUUACUGUACAGAGAAUUAAAUAUUCGUCGGGAGAUUGUUAUCAGACCGCGCAUAGAUGUUUUGGCAUUUCCGGACAGUUAUCUUUUUGAACGGUACCGUUUCACCUCACAAUCCAUAACCUACAUACACAACCUAAUCCGUCCUUACAUUUACAACAUUACCAACUGCAGUCAUGCUCUCACAUCCCAGCAGAUAUUGUGUGUUGUGCUGCGGUUCUUUGCAAAUGGGAGUUUUUUAUAUAAUGUCGGAGAUGCAGAGCACUUCAGUAAAGCAACUGUAUGCAGGACGGUCAGAAAAGUGUUUCUGGAUCUGAAACGACUUUUACCAUCUUUGUGGUUUUCCCUGGACAUAAACCUGUCAGAGCCAUCAAGGAGGAGUUCCACAGGAUUGCAGGUGAAUGAUGUAGAGAUCUGUUAAAUUAAUUUUAAAUCAUAUCCAGUUAAUGACAUUGUGCUGCAACCUCAGACUGUGAUUAGUAAAUUUAAUUUCUUUUAGGAUUUCUCAGUGUGAUUGGCUGCAUUGAUGGAACACACAUCCCCAUCAAAGCUCCCAAAUAUAAUGAAGCUGAUUAUGUGAAUAGGAAGUCCAUUCACAGCAUAAAUGUGCAGGUAGCUUAGAGGUAGAUUGACUACGGUUUCAAAAUGUUAAAGACUGCAUCAUAGUUCAACAUCUGUCAUUCUCUGCACUGUCAAGAUCAUAUGUGAUGUUGCAUGCAUCAUUUCUAAUGUAGUGGCCUGGGUCUGUUCAUGACUGGAGGGUUUAUCAAGAGUCUAACCUGAGCAACAGACUGCAACGUGGGAAGCAGCCUAAAGAUUUUAACAAUAUAAUUCACUUGUCUCCCUCCUUUAAUAUACUCUAAUGUAUCCACUAUACAUUACAGGAGAGUUUGAUGGCCUUCUGCUGGGUGACAGGGGUUACCAUGCCAACCCAGGCUGAUGACCCCAUACCCUGAACCAGGCCCCCAACAGAACUUCAACUGGGCUCAUUGCAGGAUGAGAGCCCAGGUGGAGAUGACCAUAGACCUGCUGAAAGCCUGUUUCCAGUGUCUACAUCACCUCAGGGUGACUCCUGAGAGGCCUGUGAUAUUAUUGUGGCAUGUGUUGUUCUUCAUAAUAUUACCACUAUUAGAGUAGAGCAACACUCUGCCCUACAAACUGAAGACCCAGAUGAUGACCUCAUCCACCUGCCAGCUAUCCAGGACAGCAGAGCAGUCAGAGACACCAUAUGCAAUAAUCACUUUAGAGUUUAAGUCUCCAUCAUCACCACCACAGCAGUGAAAUAAACACAUGACAUACAUUUCAUUUGGUCUUCUUUAUUUCCUACAAAUAAAAGAGCUAGUUUAGUUAAUGUUCCAGUAGUUAACAUAAUUCACCUGUGACCUGCAUCCACCUCUAACUUGUGCUCCAGUAUUUCAAUUUCCAGAUCUGCCUUCUUAAUCUGGUGGUCCAAGUACUGCAUUUCUUUAUCUGUUUUUUGUAUUUUUCUCAGCAAGUGGAUUUUGUAUAUUUGUUUUACUGGUAACUGGGAAUACAUAAAGGACAUUAAAUUAUACAGUUGCACAUGAA